GACGAACGCUGGCGGCGUGCUUAACACAUGCAAGUCGAACGGAAAGGCCCUGCUUUUGUGGGGUGCUCGAGUGGCGAACGGGUGAGUAACACGUGAGUAACCUGCCCUUGACUUUGGGAUAACUUCAGGAAACUGGGGCUAAUACCGGAUAGGAGCUCCUGCUGCAUGGUGGGGGUUGGAAAGUUGCGGCGGUUGGGGAUGGACUCGCGGCUUAUCAGGUUGUUGGUGGGGUAGUGGCUUACCAAGGCUUUGACGGGUAGCCGGCCUGGGAGGGUAAACAGCCACCAGAGUCCUGCGGUACGGCGCAGACUCCAACGGUAGGCAGAAGGCGGGAAUAUUGCACAAUGGUCGGAAGCCUGAUGCAGCAACGCCGCGGUCGUGAUGUCGGCCUUCGGGUUGUAAACCGCUUUCGCCUGUUACGAAGCGUGAGUGACGGUAAUGUGUAAAGAAGCACCGGCUAACUACGUG
rnacentral:rRNA from 1 species